rnacentral:rRNA from 1 species
AUGACAAAAAACAAGCACCGUCUGAUGAGAGGCGAUGAAGAGCAACAACGCCCUUAUAAAAGAGCAACUAGGCCAAGCACAUCCGGCAGCUCGAGUGAAUCCAGUGCAGGCUCCUCGAUUGAACUCACUGAUGCAAGCUCCUUAGCGAUAUCGGGCAGCUCGAGUGAAUCCUUUCCAGGGGCCCUGAGUGAACUCAGUGAGCAAGUUGUUUCAAGAUUGCGGAGGAGUGUUGUGUCGCUUGCUUCAUUUGAUGGUGAUACCAAAAUACGCGAAUGCACCGGCACAUGCAUCAAAAGCUCAUGUCCUGAUGCCACGUGUUUCCUGACAUCCAUAAAUUUGAUUCCGUAUACUUGCCCUAGAAGGAAGAUCACUGAAAGUUUGACGAUUAAAGUACGCCUUCCCGAUGAUCAGAUUGUCACUGGGUGGAUAGAGAACCCUGAGUUAUAUGUUCAUUUUUUCAUCGUCAAAAUCAAGAACGUUGACGUUAUUGAUCCCACCCAUCUAUAUCAUCUAAGUCUUGAUCGUGCCACGCAGUUUGAGCCUUAUAGGAAGGUAGCAGCUCUAUGGCGCUAUUAUGAUUCAGGAGAAUUAAAGACCAGAAGCGGAGUAGAUCUUGCCUCUGUAUUUGCUCGUACCGAUGAAAGGAUGUUAAGCACAUGCCGAAUCCAUGAGGUGGGGAUUGGAGGUCCCCUUGUUGAUUUUGAUGGCAACUUUGUUGGGAUGAACUACUCUGGUACCAAAGAACGAAAGACCCCCUAUGUACGAAGGCCUUCAAUUCGUGAAUUCAUGUGGUUUCGCGGGAUGGUCAGUGUUAAGGAAGAGGUUGACGAAGCUGCAAGUGCAAGAAUUAAAAUUCGUUUUGGAGACCCAGGUCUCCUCAUGGCAGCAGGCAGGCAAUACAUAAAUCUUCUCGAUGAUAUGUUCAAGAAGGAUAUCUUGAGGAAACCAUUGGGAGGUUUUGGUUUAGAAAUGGAUCGAAGUGCCUACUCACUUGCUUCAGAAUCAAGCAAACAUCUUGCUUCAGAAAUGGAUCGUAGUGUUGUCUCACUUGCCUCAUUCAAUGGAUUUGCAAAGAAGUUUUCUUGCACAGGUGUAUUUAUAAAGAGCAAAAAAUGCUCUGCAACAAUUCUUACUUCAGCAAGUUUGGUUAGAGUUCCUGGCAGUGCACACAUGAUUGAUGAUAAUUUAUGGAUUGAAGUUUGCCUAACAGGCGGAUUUCGAGUCGUAGGGAUAUUGAACUGUUAUAAUUUACACUACAAUGUCGCCCUUGUUGACAUCAUGGGAUUCUGGCAUCCAAGGACAAUAAAAAUCCGUGGGCAUCCAGUUACCUCAUCUAUGGACGUAAUAGCUGUGGGUAGUCUUUUUGCGUGUCGCAAACUAAUGGCUGUCGAGGGGAAGGUGUUGAUUGGCAAACAAAGCAAACUUGAUUGCAAAGAACUUUGUGUCUCCACCUGUGUAAUCACCAAGGCUGGGAUUGGGGGGCCUCUUAUUGACAAUGAUGGGAAUUUUGUUGGAAUGAACUUCUAUGACGAGGAAGAAACUCCGUUCCUGCCGAGGGAUGUUAUACACCGCCUCUUAUUGAACUUAAGUAAAACACGGUAUGUCUUUAAAAAAAAAAAGCUUGUAGGUUUUAGGGUUGUUGUCCUGUAUGUAUAUUCAUCUCUAGUUUUACAUCAUUCAAUCAUUUUCACUUAA